rnacentral:rRNA from 1 species
AAGCUCGUAGUUGAAUUUCGGCCUCUGCCACCCGGUCCGCCUAUUUGGGUGUGUACUGGAGUGGUGGAGGCUUACCUCGUGGUGAACGGCGAUGUCCUUUACUGGGCGUCGUCGGGAACCAUGACUUUUACUUUGAAAAAAUUAGAGUGUUCAAAGCAGGCUUACGCCCGAAUACAUUAGCAUGGAAUAAUAAAAUAGGACGUGCGGUCCUAUUUUGUCGGUUUCUAGGAUCGCCGUAAUGAUUAAUAGGGAUAGUUGGG